UUUCGCAAUGCCCGAAAGGGUGACGAAGCGACGCCGCGUGUGGGAAGAAGGCCUUCGGGUUGUGAACCACUGUCGGGAGUUAAGAAAUGUAAGGGUGUUAACAGCAUCCUUACUUGACUAAGGCUCCGGAGGAAGCCACGGCUAACUCUGUGCCAGCAGCCGCGGUAAUACAGAGGCGGCAAGCGUUGUUCGGAAUUAUUGGGCGUAAAGAGCACGUAGGCGGCCUUGCAAGUCAGUUGUGAAAUCCUUCUGCUUAACGGAAGAACAGCAGCUGAUACUACAGGGCUUGAGUGCGGGAGGGGAGAGUGGAACUUCUGGUGGAGCGGUGAAAUGCGUAGAUAUCAGAAGGAACGCCGGCGGCGAAAGCGGCUCUCUGGCCCGUAACUGACGCUGAGUGUGCGAAAGCUAGGGGAGCAAACGGGAUUAGAUACCCCGGUAGUCCUAGCCGUAAACGAUGGGCACUAAGUAGAGGGGUUUUA
rnacentral:rRNA from 1 species